CAGCACCUCAAGUGGUCAGGAUGAUUAUUGGGCCUAAAGCAUCCGUAGCCGGCGCUGUAAGUUUUCGGUUAAAUCUGUACGCUCAACGUACAGGCUGCCGGGAAUACUGCAGCGCUAGGGAGUGGGAGAGGUAGACGGUACUCGGUAAGAAGGGGUAAAAUCCUUUGAUCUAUUGAUGACCACCUGUGGCGAAGGCGGUCUACCAGAACACGUCCGACGGUGAGGGAUGAAAGCUGGGGGAGCAAACCGGAUUAGAUACCCGAGUAGUCC
rnacentral:rRNA from 1 species